UGGACACCCCUGCUUUAAAUCAUGUUAACAUGCAUAUUGAUUAUGUCCUGUGUCUAUAUUAUUGAAGCAGUGGGUAUUUUAAUAAUGGAUUGGCCAUUAACUUCCAUUGAGCUGGAGUCUCUCUACAGGAGACUAUGAGAUACCUGGAGUCUCAGUAUCUUGAGGAGAUCGAGGUCAUGCUUAGGGGCCAGGAUCUGUUCUUCGACUGCGUGGAAGCCGAGAUCAAAUUCUACCAGUGAAACAGAGCAAGUAAACAGAGAAAUUUGUCUUUGUGAACGUCACU